UUUUUUUUUUUUUUUUUUAUUUAAGUACCCUAGGUUUGUUUGGAGACUGGGAACUGUGGAAGUAGACAGGAAACUUUUAAAUUUUUGUUUUUUUUAAAUGCUCAAGUGGUUUGUUUGGUCGCUGAGAGACUGUGGAAAUAGACAGGAAACCUAAUAUUGAAAGCAAUCUGUUUGAUUGUUGAGGAGAUUGGAACAGGAAAGAAAAUGUGGUUGAACUAAGGUGCUCUUUUUCCCUUCCCUUCCUUUUCCUAGCUGAUUUUGUGAAUGAUGCAGAUAAAACCAUUUUGGUAGUGUAGUUGAUAUUUUUUUUUCUUUUAUUCAUAUACUGGAAUUGGAAACAUAGACAUGGACAGGACAUCAUGAUUUUUUGGCUUGUUUAUUGUUUAUUUUAUUUUAUUUUGGCUGUUGAAUCUAUUCCUGCCAAUUAUAAAUGAUGGGUUAAGAUUUUGAGGUACUGAAUUGGUUGGUUCUUUUAUUAGGUUUCUGCAGCAAUUGGGUUUG
rnacentral:misc_RNA from 1 species